AUGGGUCGGCCGGUUGGGUGCACUGGGAAGAAUGGCGCGGACAAGGCCGGACAGCGGCCAAAGUGGCAAACCAAAUGGACAAAAUGUGCAUCUGUUUUGCGUCCCUGCGUUGGAGUUGGCCUUAGUCUCCACAUCCCUACAUUGUAUCAGAGGACGGGGCGUGAGGAGGUGACGGCGGCGAUGGCCGCUGAGGCAGCAGGAGCAAGGAGACGUCGAAUCUGGGCAAGUAGCAUGCGAAGAAGCGGGGCUGCGUGCGAGCUUGUGGUGUAG
rnacentral:rRNA from 1 species